UACAGAGGGGGCAAGCGUUGUUCGGAAUUACUGGGCGUAAAGGGCGCGUAGGCGGCCUUCUAAGUCGAACGUGAAAUCCCUGGGCUCAACCCAGGAACUGCGUCCGAUACUGGAAGGCUUGAAUCCGGGAGAGGGAUGCGGAAUUCCAGGUGUAGCGGUGAAAUGCGUAGAUAUCUGGAGGAACACCGGUGGCGAAGGCGGCAUCCUAGACCGGUACUGACGCUGAGGUGCGAAAGCGUGGGGAGCAAACAGG
rnacentral:rRNA from 1 species